rnacentral:rRNA from 1 species
UACGUAGGGUGCGAGCGUUGUCCGGAAUUAUUGGGCGUAAAGAGCUCGUAGGCGGUUUGUCGCGUCGGCCGUGAAAACUUGGGGCUUAACCCCAAGCCUGCGGUCGAUACGGGCAGACUUGAGUUCGGCAGGGGAGACUGGAAUUCCUGGUGUAGCGGUGAAAUGCGUAGAUAUCUGGAGGAACACCGGUGGCGAAGGCGGCGUCCUGGACCAACACUGACACUGAGGAGCGAAAGCCAGGGGAGCAAACGGG